CGCCAACCUAAGAGUGUCCACAAAAUUUAAGUGCUUAGAGCGGCUUAAAAAUGCGUUUAGUCUUUGAAAUUUUUCCUUCUUUUUGCUACCGACGUACUCGAAAUCAGAUUCUUCAGCUUUUAUUACAUGGGAACUAUGUAGUUGCUGUUCUUCCAACUGGGUUUGGUAAAUAUCGUCCGUUCGCUAAACAAAAUUAACAGCCAAAAUAUAAUAGUAUUACGACAGAUGUUCUCCAGCUGGACAGGCUUGCCUAAGAGGACACGGAAAGUGUUUUGAACUGGG